rnacentral:lncRNA from 1 species
ACCAGGGCUCCCAGAAGCCGUCCUCUCAUGUACCAUUGCUCUAUGCUUUGACAACAACUGAAAACAGAGAAAAAUCUAAGACUGCUUUCUCUAGAUAUUUCAUCAGUUAAAGUUGAGUCAACCAAGCCAGACAAAUUAGGAUCAUGUAAGCAAGGAGACAAAAGGAUGUCAUGGAAAUAUGGAAGCAGCAUUGUUCGCUAUUACAGAGGCUCAUUCAUGCAACAGGAAUACUCAGUGCAAAGGUCCCCCACUCAACCGUUUCAAGAUAAGUAUCCUCAAUAUUUUGUACUUUACUGGAAAUCUUAAGCCAACCGCCUUUGGUAGAACUCAAAACAUUAUGUCUAAUGUAUACCAGCUGUGAAAGGGUAACCUGGAAUUUAAGAUAUGGUAGACUAAAAAGAAAAGCUUUUAUCAUAACUUCCUACGAACAUUUUCAUCAACUCAUGUGGUAUACAUCUGGAUGGGUCUUUGAUAGCUGCUGGCUUAAAAUAAUGGAUAUAGUCUAAAAUGUUAUUUUC